AAUAUUGGACAAUGGGCGAAAGCCUGAUCCAGCCAUGCCGCGUGAGUGAAGAAGGUCUUCUGCUUGUAAAGCACUUUAAGUAGGGAGGAAGGGCAGUAAGUUAAUACGUUGCUGUGUUGACGUUACCGACGGAAUAAGCACCGGCACACUACGUGCCAGCAGCCGCGGUAAUACGAAGGGUGCAAGCGUUAAUCGGAAUGACUGGGCGUAAAGCGCGCGUAGGUGGUUUGUUAAGUUGGGAGUGAAAGCCCCGGGCUCAACCUGGGAACUGCUUUCAAAACUGGCAAGCUAGAGUAUGGCAGAGGGUGGUAGAAUUUCCUGUGUAGCGGUGAAAUGCGUAGAUAUCGGAAGGAACACCAGUGGCGAAGGCGACCACCUGGGCUAAUACUGACACUGAGGUGCGACAGCGUGGGGAGCAAAC
rnacentral:rRNA from 1 species